rnacentral:rRNA from 1 species
CAGCAGCCGCGGGAAUACGUAGGGGGCGAGCGUUGUCCGAAGUUACUGGGCGUAAAGAGCGCGUAGGCGGGUCUUUAAGUGAGGGGUGAAAGGUUCAGGGCUCAACCCGGACACUGCCUUUCAUACUGGAGACCUUGAGUGUGGGAGAGGCGAGUGGAAUGGUCGGUGUAGCGGUGAAAUGCGUAGAUAUCGAUCGGAACACCCAUGGCGAAGGCAGCUCGCUGGCCUAUAACUGACGCUGAGGCGCGAAAGCGUGGGGAGCAAGCAGGAUUAGAUACCCGCGUAGUCCCUGUCUCUUAUA